AUUGAACGCUGGCGGAAGGCCUAACACAUGCAAGUCGGACGGUAGCACAGAGAGCUUGCUCUUGGGUGACGAGUGGCGGACGGGUGAGUAAUGUCUGGGGAUCUGCCCGAUAGAGGGGGAUAACCACUGGAAACGGUGGCUAAUACCGCAUAACGUCGCAAGACCAAAGAGGGGGACCUUCGGGCCUCUCACUAUCGGAUGAACCCAGAUGGGAUUAGCUAGUAGGCGGGGUAAUGGCCCACCUAGGAGACGAUCCCUAGCUGGUCUGAGAGGAUGACCAGCCACACUGGAACUGAGACACGGUCCAGACUCCUACGGGAGGCUGCAGUGGGGAAUAUUGCACAAUGGUCGCAAGCCUGAUGCAGCCAUGCCGCGUGUAUGAAGAAGGCCUUCGGGUUGUAAAGUACUUUCAGCGGGGAGGAAGGCGACGCGGUUAAUAACCGCGUCGAUUGACGUUACCCGCAGAAGAAGCACCGGCUAACUCCGUGCCAGCCGCCGCAGUAA
rnacentral:rRNA from 1 species